rnacentral:pre_miRNA from 1 species
CAACUACUCCCUCUGUCCCAAAUUUCUUGUCUUAGAUUUGUCCAGAUACAGAUGUAUCUAAUACUAAAAUGUGACUUGAUACAUCCGUAUCUAGACAAAUCUAAGACAAGAAUUUUGGGACGGAGGGAGUACUUU